UGGGGGGAUAUUGCACAAUGGGGGGAAACCCUGAUGCAGCGACGCCGCGUGAGUGAAGAAGUAUUUCGGUAUGUAAAGCUCUAUCAGCAGGAAAGAUAAUGACGGUACCUGACUAAGAAGCACCGGCUAAAUACGUGCCAGCAGCCGCGGUAAUACGUAUGGUGCAAGCGUUAUCCGGAUUUACUGGGUGUAAAGGGAGCGUAGACGGUGGUGCAAGUCUGAAGUGAAAUGUGGGGGCUCAACCCCCAAACUGCUUUGGAAACUGUAUGACUAGAGUGCAGGAGAGGUAAGUGGAAUUCCUAGUGUAGCGGUGAAAUGCGUAGAUAUUAGGAGGAACACCAGUGGCGAAGGCGGCUUACUGGACUGUAACUGACGUUGAGGCUCGAAGGCGUGGGGAGCAAACA
rnacentral:rRNA from 1 species